UGAGUUUGAUCCUGGCUCAGGACGAACGCUGGCGGCGUGCCUAAUACAUGCAAGUCGAGCGCGUGAACCUUUUCAGAUUCCUUCGGGAUGACGAAGAGCGGAUCGAGCGGCGGAUGGGUGAGUAACACGUGGGCAACCUGCCUAUAAGACUGGGAUAACUCGUGGAAACGCGAGCUAAUACCGGAUAAUACUUCUUAUCUCAUGAUGAGAAGAUAAAAGAUGGCAUCUCGCUAUCACUUAUAGAUGGGCCCGUGGCGCAUUAGCUAGUUGGUGGGAUAAUAGCUCACCAAGGCAACGAUGCGUAGCCGACCUGAGAGGGUGAUCGGCCACACUGGGACUGAGACACGGCCCAGACUCCUACGGGAGGCAGCAGUAGGGAAUCUUCCGCAAUGGACGAAAGUCUGACGGAGCAACGCCGCGUGAGUGAUGAAUGUCUUCGGAUUGUAAAACUCUGUUGUUAGGGAAGAACAAGUACUAGAGUAACUGCUAGUACCUUGACGGUACCUAACCAGAAAGCCCCGGCUAACUACGUGCCAGCAGCCGCGGUAAUACGUAGGGGGCAAGCGUUGUCCGGAAUUAUUGGGCGUAAAGCGCACGCAGGCGGUCCUUUAAGUCUGAUGUGAAAGCCCACGGUUUAACCGUGGAAGGUCAUUGGAAACUGAAGGACUUGAGUACAGAAGAGGAGAGUGGAAUUCCACGUGGAGCGGUGAAAUGCGUAGAGAUGUGGAGGAACACCAGUGGCGAAGGCGACUCUUUGGUCUGUAAUUGACGCUGAGGUGCGAAAGCGUGGGUAGCGAACAGGAUUAGAUACCCUGGUAGUCCACGCCGUAAACGAUGAGUGCUAGGUGUCAGGGGGUUUCCGCCCCUUGGUGCUGGAGUUAACGCAUUAAGCACUCCGCCUGGGGAGUACGGCCGCAAGGCUGAAACUCAAAAGAAUUGACGGGGGCCCGCACAAGCGGUGGAGCAUGUGGUUUAAUUCGAAGCAACGCGAAGAACCUUACCAGGUCUUGACAUCCUCUGAUAACCCUAGAGAUAGGGCAUUCCCUUCGGGGACAGAGUGACAGGUGGUGCAUGGUUGUCGUCAGCUCGUGUCGUGAGAUGUUGGGUUAAGUCCCGUAACGAGCGGAACCCCUAAUCUUAGUUGCCAGCGAGUAAUGUCGGGGACUCUAAAGAAACUGCCAGCGCAAGCUGAGAGGAAGGAGGGGACGACGUCAAGUCAUCACGGCCCUUACGUCCUGGGCUACACACGUGCUACAAUGGUCGGUACAGAGGGCAGCUACCUAGCGAUAGGAUGCUAAUCUUUAAAGCCGAUCUCAGUUCGGAUUGGAGUCUGCAACUCGACUCUAUGAAGCUGGAAUCGCUAGUAAUCGCAGAUCAGCAAUGCUGCGGUGAAUACGUUCCCGGGCCUUGUACACACCGCCCGUCAAGCCAUGGAAGUGGGGGGUACCUGAAGUCGGUAACCGCAAGGAGCUGCCUAGGGUAAAACUCAUAACUGGGGCUAAGUCGUAACAAGGUAUCA
rnacentral:rRNA from 1 species